UUAUUUGAACAUAUACCUCAU
ensembl:piRNA 21ur-7497 ncRNA